rnacentral:rRNA from 1 species
UACGUAGGUGGCAAGCGUUGUCCGGAAUUAUUGGGCGUAAAGCGCGCGCAGGCGGCCUCCUAAGUCCGAUGUGAAAGCCCACGGCUCAACCGUGGAGGGUCAUUGGAAACUGGGGGACUUGAGUGCAGGAGAGAAGAGUGGAAUUCCACGUGUAGCGGUGAGAUGCGUAGAGAUGUGGAGGAACACCAGUGGCGAAGGCGACUCUUUGGCCUGUAACUGACGCUGAGGCGCGAAAGCGUGGGGAGCAAACAGG